CAGCAGCCGCGGUAAUACGUAGGGUGCGAGCGUUAAUCGGAAUUACUGGGCGUAAAGCGUGCGCAGGCGGUUGUGUAAGACAGGUGUGAAAUCCCCGGGCUUAACCUGGGAACUGCGCUUGUGACUGCACAGCUAGAGUAUGGCAGAGGGGGGUGGUAUUCCACGUGUAGCAGUGAAAUGCGUAGAGAUGUGGAGGAACACCGAUGGCGAAGGCAGCCCCCUGGGCCAAUACUGACGCUCAUGCACGAAAGCGUGGGGAGCAAACAGGAUUAGAUACCCCUGUAGUCCCUGUCUCUUAUAC
rnacentral:rRNA from 1 species